rnacentral:rRNA from 1 species
GGGGAAUAUUGCACAAUGGGGGAAACCCUGAUGCAGCGACGCCGCGUGAGUGAAGAAGCGCCUCGGCGCGUAAAGCUCUGUCAGCAGGAACGACGAUGACGGUACCUGAAGAAGAAGCCCCGGCUAACUACGUGCCAGCAGCCGCGGUAAUACGUAGGGGGCAAGCGUUAUCCGGAUUUACUGGGUGUAAAGGGAGCGUAGACGGUUAUGCAAGUCUGGAGUGAAAGCCCAGGGCUCAACCCCGGGACUGCUUUGGAAACUGUAAAACUGGAGUGCAGGAGAGGCAGGCGGAAUUCCUAGUGUAGCGGUGAAAUGCGUAGAUAUUAGGAGGAACACCAGUGGCGAAGGCGGCCUGCUGGACUGUAACUGACGUUGAGGCUCGAAGGCGUGGGGAGCAAACAG